rnacentral:rRNA from 1 species
GAUGAACGCUGGCGGCGUGCCUAAUACAUGCAAGUCGAGCGAACGGACGAGAAGCUUGCUUCUCUGAUGUUAGCGGCGGACGGGUGAGUAACACGUGGAUAACCUACCUAUAAGACUGGGAUAACUUCGGGAAACCGGAGCUAAUACCGGAUGAUAUUUUGAACCGCAUGGUUCAAAAGUGAAAGACGGUCUUGCUGUCACUUAUAGAUGGAUCCGCGCUGCAUUAGCUAGUUGGUAAGGUAACGGCUUACCAAGGCAACGAUGCAUAGCCGACCUGAGAGGGUGAUCGGCCACACUGGAACUGAGCCACGGUCCAGACUCCUAAGGGAGGCAGCAGUAGGGAAUCUUCCGCAAUGGGCGAAAGCAUGACGGAGCAACGCCGAGUGAGUGAUGAAGGUCUUCGGAUCGUAAAACUCUGUUAUUAGGGAAGAACAUAUGUGUAAGUAAAUGUGCGCAUCUUGACGGUACCUAAUCAGAAAGCCACGGCUAACUACGUG